CAGGGGGGAGAAGAAUGGACAUUAUGGGGGACAACAAAGGAUACUGCCAAAGCCACCAAGCCUGUCUCACCUCAUGCUGGGGGAAAGAGUCAGACUCACAGGUGAUGGUGGAUGUGGGUGC